CCUCCAGACCUCAUUGGAGGAUCAGGAGGGACCGAGGGUCCUUCUCCAGACCCCCCAAUGAACAUGAGGACUCCCGCCGUGACUCACGUGUGACGCAGUCUCCUGGAAUCACCCCCUCUUCCCCCCUCUUCCUCUCUGCCGCCUCCUCCUUCUGUCACCUUUUUCUUUUUUUUCUCUCGCUGGGUGGGGAUGGAGGUCCCGUCACCAUGACAACGGGUCCAGAACAUCUGCCGGGAGCAGUUUUGUGCAGCUGUAGCGUGAAGACGUCACCGUGUGCAGCUUCAUGCAUGUAGCCGAUGAUGAGGAGAAGCCUCCCUGUCUGUCCCACGGAGGGAGAAGAGGCCCUCCGGUCCCACCUGGGCUGAGGGCCCUCCAUCAUGUGUGCUUAUGAAACCAUCACCAGCCUCGUGGCUCACGCUGCACAGCGUGGGACAACACUGGGGGUAUUAAUGUGGGCGUGGCCUGUUCAUCAGUAACUACCCUUCAGGCCAGGCACUCCAUAAAUACAUCGACAGGCUGAUAGACGCUCAGAGGAACCAGAACCAGCGUCAGAGGCAAGAUGAAGACCAGCAUCUGGGUCCUGGUCCUCCUGGUGGCGCUCGUGGCUUCUCACUCUGACGCCUGUGAGAUCUGUGAGUCGGUGGCCUGCACCGGCUGCUGAGCCGCCUGCACGGUGACGUCAUCCGUCACUUGAUUCUGAUUUUCACUGAAUUCAAAAUCCAAAAUGAUAAAAAUGACAAAAAAUCUUUUUGAUUGUGUUUCUUAUGAUUUGUCAUCUGUAGUCACAUUUUAAAUAAAUGUAAUUGUUUCUUAUUGAAAUCUCAAUAAAGUCUUGAAAUG